AGUGAACGCUGGCGGUAGGCCUAACACAUGCAGGUCGAACGGCAGCACAGGAGAGCUUGCUCUCUGGGUGGCGAGUGGCGGACGGGUGAGGAAUACAUCGGAAUCUACUCUGUCGUGGGGGAUAACGUAGGGAAACUUACGCUAAUACCGCAUACGACCUACGGGUGAAAGCAGGGGACCUUCGGGCCUUGCGCGAUUGAAUGAGCCGAUGUCGGAUUAGCUAGUUGGCGGGGUAAAGGCCCACCAAGGCGACGAUCCGUAGCUGGUCUGAGAGGAUGAUCAGCCGCACUGGAACGGAGACACGGUCCAGAAUCCUACGGGAGGCAGCAGUGGGGAAUAUUGGACAAUGGGCGCAAGCCUGAUCCAGCCAUACCGCGUGGGUGAAGAAGGCCUUCGGGUUGUAAAGCCCUUUUGUUGGGAAAGAAAUCCAGCUGGCUAAUACCCGGUUGGGAUGACGGUACCCAAAGAAUAAGCACCGGCUAACUUCGUGCCAGCCGCCGCGGUAA
rnacentral:rRNA from 1 species